CCUGCAAGCAACACAAGGUGGUUACACGAGCCAAAGCGGAUUUCUUCUGUCAUCUUUCUCCGUCAAUCGGUCCAGCACUUUGAUAUUAAAGAAUGAAACAUUUCAACAACUCCUUGAUUGACAAAGCGUGAAGACUUUGGUGGUCCCUUGACUUUUCUUUCAGGACUUUGUUGCCUCAUUCCAACGUGUCACCUGCAGGACGAGGGACGGCACGGAGAAGAUCAUGGCCUCAUUGAAGAUGGGAUUUGUGUCGUCCCGUUUGGUGGAAGUCUUCUUCUUGCUGAUCUUCCUGCCGUCUUGCAGGAGAUAUACUUUGACAAAAGGAUCUGACAACGACAGCAAGCGAAUAACAUCACAACCGUGUUUAAUCGUAUUAAGCGCGAGCUACAGAUGUGCAAACAUCCCCACAGUUAGUGGUGCUUUUAAUAAACUCCUCAUUAAAGAGCAAUCAGGCACAGUCCUACACACACAAUUAGCUCUGCAGAUGAUGACAUUGUUUCAGAGGGAGACCUUUAUUAUGAACAAGUCAUUUCGUGUCCCCUCUGCCUGUCUCCUUAUGAAUAAAUCGACCUCCUGGGGGUCCGGUAGAAAGAUGUUGAUUGAUUGAAAAGCAGACGGAUUUAAAGUUCAAUGUCAACAGUCACUCAGGCAGCUCAGAUUCUCAAACAUUUAAGAAUGAAACUCGGCCAGCAGACACACAAAAAGUUGCCGACCUGCAGUGUUCUUGCUGUUGGUCCACACCAGAUUCUUGCACUUGGCCACAACGACUGUGAGGCGCUCUGCUGUCGGCAAAUAGCUGAGCGACAACAGGAUCUCCCCGACUGCGUCCACGGCCUGUGGAUUCAUACACAGUUUCCAGUCCGCUCCACAAGCACAGUGAAGCAAAUGUCUCCUCCAGAGCAGCCUAGUGGGGUUGGAGGAGUUUGUGCAGCUACUGGGGAUCAGACUUAAUGACAUUUCACAGCUUAUACGACUUUAAAUUAAUAUGUGAAUUAGGGCCAUUAGAAAAUGGAACCUGUAAACGUUGAAACAACUAUUACAACAACUAUUUUUAAAAUGUUAGCAGUUUAUUUCAGUAGUCAUUUGGACGGUGGUGAAUUAAAGACGGUAUAAUGCAAGUAAUCAA